UCGAGCGGAUGAAGGGAGCUUGCUCCUGGAUUCAGCGGCGGACGGGUGAGUAAUGCCUAGGAAUCUGCCUGGUAGUGGGGGAUAACGUCCGGAAACGGGCGCUAAUACCGCAUACGUCCUGAGGGAGAAAGUGGGGGAUCUUCGGACCUCACGCUAUCAGAUGAGCCUAGGUCGGAUUAGCUAGUUGGUGGGGUAAAGGCCUACCAAGGCGACGAUCCGUAACUGGUCUGAGAGGAUGAUCAGUCACACUGGAACUGAGACACGGUCCAGACUCCUACGGGAGGCAGCAGUGGGGAAUAUUGG
rnacentral:rRNA from 1 species